rnacentral:lncRNA from 1 species
UGCAUAUGUUAAUUCUGUGGCUUCCUCACACAUCUUGUGUGUCUCCAUCUACUGUGUAAAUUUAGUGAUUCUCCCUCCUUUCCUUAUUGUCUGUUUAAUUUGUAGAAUCUGCUAAAAUGACUUGUUGCUCAUUUUCCAGGUGGAAAGUCAAUCUUUCAAUGCAGGGAUCUCUGAAGUGCAUUUCAAAUUGAAAUAUUCUCCAACACGCGUCAUCUCUUGAUCUCAUUGUUUCGUAUUAGCACAGUGGAUUGGUCAUCACCUUUAUUUAUGUAUUUAAAAAGGUAUCUUUUUUUAUAAAGAUCAUCUGCACACCUCUUCAUUUGUAUGUGCUUGAUAUUUUCCAGUAAAUUUAUGUUGUAUGGGGUACAUAAUGUUGCUUCAUGUAUACUACUACCAGUCGUGUAGUGAUAAAGUUUAGAACCAAAUGGAUGAUAAUACACAUGCGAGUAGAACUUUCUGAAGAUUUUCUUACCUCACUUGUAUCAAAGGUUGUCCUUUUGGUGUAGUUGCGUAGUGUGGGACAUCCUCAUGUAUGAUCAAAGACUGACUAUUUUUCUUGUCUGCAAUAUCAUUCUCCUUUUGAAUCUUGCCAUUUUUGUUGAUUGUCUGGAUUUGCAUCAAUAAGAUAACAAUUCAAAAUAUUGUUUUUCUUGUCCAAGUUGAAAUCAAUUAGGAACCUCUUGUGCCUAAUUGGAAGUGUUACCUUUUUAGUUGUAAUAUUCUCGUGGUAUAAGAUAUAAAAGAUUCACAAUUAGUAACGGGUCACCUUGUUAGAUUGCAUAUUUGAUUUGUUUUAACCACCUUGGUAGGUUUCUCAAAUUCCUUGCUGUGUGGACGACCUUUUGUUUUCAUUCUUUAUUCCUGCACAAUAGAGAAUGCAAAUAUAAAGUUAAAGAGGACCAUAUUAUAAUAUUAUUACAGAAAGUGGCAGGCGACGGACGACUACAAAGAUCAAUGGCGAUGCGCCUGCUGUGCUUUGGACUGAGGAGAGUACCUUG